UGAAAAAGGCAUAUUGGGUGUGUGGCUCUACGCAGAUAUUUACUAUAUGUAAUAUGCUAGGUAGAAAAGUUAUGCAAUAUUAACAUUUAAAUAAUGUAGUAAAUGUAGUUUUUAACAUUGAAUCUAAGUAAGAAUUGUGUGUAAGGUAUUGUCCUUAGCUCAAGAGCAAAGAGAAGAUAACCCAGAGGUUUCUACACAGAGAGAACAAUUACAACAAGCCAUACUAAAAACCCCUCUUGGAUGUUUCAGAGGGAAAGAUACAUAUCUCCUUGAAACCACCCUGGUCACUCCAGACCGUGCAUAUCUCCUUGAAUCUACCCUGGUCAAGCGAGACCAUUGUAUAUCUCCUUGAAUCCACAAAGCCACCUGGUUAAGCCAGACUCCAAGACGCCAGGGGUUUUGCAAAAGGCUCUUGGCAAACGGGCUUUUCUUAGAUAAAGUAUGCAUAAUCAUCAAAGUUUGUCCUCAAAAAUAGAGAUGCUUCUCUCUAACGGGGCCCUUCUUUCUCGCAGCUUUUGUCUGAGAGGAGAGGGGACGGUAGACCCGGGCUACCUUUCUUUGCUCUUAUUGCCUCAUUAUUUGUCCUGUCUCUGAAAACUUUUUAAACUUUUAUUAUUGUAUUAAUUUUUUUGUAACCAAUUUUUAUUCUUUAUUAAAUUUUCAUAAAUUUCAAAAAGCGAGUUAUUGGCAUAUAUCACAAUUUGGUAGCAGAGUACGGUUAAAAUACCCCACUGUGGGUGCUGUGAGAGGAUUAGAGACCAGGAAGACGCGUCCCGCCUGCAUUAGGCGGCCUCGGCUCUGGUCCUCGCUAAGUACCCCAGAAAGGGGUAAGAUCCAAGGACAAAAGGAGACAAUAAGGCAAAGAGAAGGGAAAGAAUUCCCUAAAAACCGCGGUAACCAGCUCCUAACAUCAAAGUGUGCACGAAGAAUAAAGACCCAAGGACAACGGAGUGGUAAGAAUUGCUGGGAUUGGGGGUGGCAGCGUUUUGCGCGGAACGGGGGCUGAAAGUGUGUGUGUCUGAGAGGCGGGCUGGGGUAAAACCCAGACCUUCCAAGCGAGAGCGGAGUCCCCUACGCUGCGGUUCCGUUGUCCCGCGAGGGACGCGGCCAGCACCGGGACGAAAGUGAAUGGUAAAAAGGAGUGAAAGAAACCCCCCCCGGGAAGAAGUGUGUGAAAAGGGAACCCUAAAAGCUUUUGCUGGGUUGAGGAAAAUUAUUCCAAGAACACCCAGGUUAUUUUAAUAAUCGGCUGGGUUGAAGAAAUAUUCCAAGAACACCCAGAAUUUAGCUGGGUUGAGGAAAAUUCUGAGAGCACCCAGGGUUGAUAACCAGCUGGAUUGGAGAGAAAUUCUGAGACAUCCAGGGUUAUGUUAAAUUCUGCAGAAUCUAUGAAAUAAACCCAAGACAUCUGGGGUUGGGAAGAGAAAUCCCAACAUUGCCAGAUUGAAGGUUUGUGAAAUACAUUAUCUGGCCAGGGACUCUUUAAAGAGUGUAAAAGUUGUGUAAAAAAAAAAAGGUACCUUGUUGUUGUCAUGAUUGUUGGUUGUGUGUGAGAAUAAGUGGAAAAUAGGGUGGAGUGAAUGUGGAUGAAUGAAAGUAUAGAAAGUGUAAAUUUUUAUUUUAAACUUUAUUAUAGUUCCUCAGAGAAAGUAAACUGUAUUAAGAAAUAGUGUGAGAGAAAGGAAAAAAGUAGCUUUUGUGGGGGUAAAGGGAAGUUGAACAGAGACAAGGGGGGUUGGAGUAGAGAGAAUAUUGAAAAAUGGGACAGAAAUCCAGUAAAGAGAAGAUAGGGAAGAAAAGAAAAAGUAAAAAACCAUCCACAGAAAUUCCUCCAGACAGUCCACUGGGAAUCAUGUUAAAUAAUUGGGAAAAAAACCCUUGUACAAGGACAAAGGAUAAAAUAAAGAUGAUACAAUUCUGUAUGCUAGAAUGGCCAAGAGAGAAAAUAAGAUCUGAUCACGUUUAUUGGCCUAGAUAUGGUUCCUUCGAAAAAUGGAUUUGUCAGGCUUUAAAUGAAUUUAUAAAUUCAAAGGAACAGAGUGAUUUAGAAGAAAGAAAUUAUGCGGCCUGUUGGACUGGAGAUUAUAGGAGAAUCAAGAUUUUUAAAGUAGCAGAAACCCCUGGAACAAAGCAAGGGAGGAAAACAGGGAAAGGGAAGGAAGGGGAACAGGAAAAAGGGGAACAGGAGAAAAAGAGAGAAAAGGAAUGGGACCCUCUGCAGUUUCUACCCCCUCCUUUUCAAAGCACGCCUGCAUUGCCAGAGUCAGGACCCAGCGGGAGGUCUCCCUCGGCCCCAAUGUCGGAGUUCGUCCCUGCCCCCGCGUAUACCACGGGUCCCGGCUUGUCGUGUGGUCUCGCCCCGGUUCCCGUCCCGGGCGUGGGUCCGCUUGGGGCGGCAGCCCCGGUGGCACCGGGCCCCCUCCCCCGCCCGCCCCCAGUAGUGGCUCCCUGUCUGCCUGGGGCAGCAGGAGCGGGCUUUCUGACCCCUUCCUCCAUAGUUGUAGGUCCGCACGCCUUUUCGCCCGCCGCAGUGGCGGCGGCGGGAGGUCUCCCCUCCCUUUCUCCGCCGGUGGCGGCGGCGGGUUCGCCCGCGGCGGCGGCGGCGGGGGAGGCUUUCCCUUCCCUUUCUCCGCCAGUAAUUGCAGCAGACCCUCUCCCGCUCGCGGAGGCCGCCCGUUUCUUGCCCCUUUCCCCCGCGACCCCAGGUCCCCAAGCUUUUCCGCCAGCCGCAGGAAUAGUAUCGCCAGAAACGGCGGCAGCAGCGGCCCGACCCUUGCACGCCUCUCCUGUGGCUAUGAGAUCGCCAGCCCUCCCGUCCGCCGCGGUGAUGGCGCCGCAGGCAUCUGCGGCUCCUAGCCCUCCUGGGACGGCGAGUCCCUCGCUGCCAGCGUGUGGCGGGUCUCCGCCGGUCCCGUCUCCGAGGACCGUGGCGACGACCCCGGCCCCGGCGAUGCCGGGCGCUGCUGCCGCGGCCCCGUUUGUGCCGGAGACGGCAGGCCCAGCCGCCAUGGGCCGCGUGGGCAGCCCAGCCACAUGGAGUAGACAGGAAAUGACUUCCCCUUCGGAAAUUCCGGUAGCAGACCCCGCCCAUGCCCCUCCUUUGGAGGACUCAAACUCUAUAGUUACUUGGGAGGACCAAAAUUCUAUGGUGAGUCCUCCAGGAAUUCCACUUCCUGUUAGGGGAAUCGUCUCUAUGGAAACCGCUGCCGCUACGGUUAAAAAGAGUUCUUUGUCUCUGCCAGAUGCCCCUUACAAAAAUACUAGAAAUGCAGUUAGGAAGCAACUUUCUCCUGAUUAUUACUCACCACAUGAAAACAAAACUAAAGAAAAGGAAUGGGAAAAAGAAAUUGGGCUAUUUCCCCUAAGAGAGGUACCCAUGGGAGGGGGAGGAACGGGUUUCGUGAAUGCUCCCCUAACCUCCUCUGAGGUCAGGAGUUUUAAAAAGGAAAUAAGAGGGAUUCUGGAAGACCCCAUAGGCACAGCUGAACAGCUUGACCAGUUCCUGGGACCAAAUAUCUAUACUUGGGAGGAAUUGCAAUCCAUAAUUAAGAUAUUAUUUUCUCAUGAGGAAAGGGAGAUGAUUAGAGCAGCAGGAGUAAAAAUAUGGAAUAGAGAGCAUCCCCAGGGACCCUCUGGAGAAGACAUAAUGCCGACAGAACCUCCAGAAUGGGGUCAGAAUAAUGAGGAAGGGAGGAAAUGUAUGAAUGAUUAUCGCAAUACCAUAAUCAAGGGGAUAAAAGAGGCAGCCCCUCGAGGAGUAAAUGCUAAAAAGGCUUUUGAAAUACAACAGGGAAAAGAAGAAACCCCAACUGAAUGGUUAGAUCGACUUAGGAGAAAUAUAAAACAAUAUUCUGGAAUAGAUCCUGAAACUGAAGUGGGAAAAGCUUUAUUGAGAGUAAAUUUUGUUACAAAUGCUUGGCCAGAUAUUAGAAAAAAAUUAGAGAAGAUUGAGGAUUGGCAUGGAAAACCCUUAGAUGAUUUAUUGAAGGAAGCUCAAAAAGUCUAUGUUCGAAGGGAUGAAGAACAAACUAAGCUACAGGCAAAAAUUAUGGCAGUUACUAUGAGGGGAAGCAAUUUCCAGAAAAAUCAGAGAUACACAGGCACUGCUUCUAAAUAUGAUGGUCAUAAAGACAGGAGAAUGGAAAAAAAUCAAAACCCAACACCAACAAAGCCACAGAGGCAUUCCAAAAAUGUCUGUUUUUUCUGUCAAGGUGAAGGGCAUUAUAGAAGGGACUGCCCUAAACGGGCAAAAGAUCUGAAAAUCUUCAAAGAGAUGAAUACAGAAAGUGACUAGGGAAGUCUCAGGCUCUAUUUUUUAGGGGACAAAUACCAUCUAGAGCCUGUGAUAACCCUAAAAGUGGGUCCCCAAGGAGAGGAAGUGAAAUUUGUAGCAGACACUGGCGCAGAAAAAACUUGUCUCAUAGAUAUUCCCAAAGGUUAUAAAGUAAGUAAAGAGACUGUAAAGGUAGUAGGUGCAAAAGGAGAAAGUUUUUCUGCUCCAGUCAUCAAAAAUGUAUUAAUAGAGGGAGAAACUAGAUUUUGGGUAGGAGAUGUUUUGCUGGUCCCGGGGGCAGGCAGUAAUUUAUUGGGACGAGACUUCCAAAUAAAAUUAGGAAUAGGAGUUAUACCAGAAAAUGGGAAGAUGACAGCUAAAAUACUGAAACUAGAACAGGAGGAUGAAAAGAAAAUUAAAAAGGAGGUAUGGGCUGCUGAAGGAAAUAGAGGAGGAUUGAAUAUUGACCCCAUAAAAGUUAAAAUUGAAAGAGAAGAUUGUCCCAUACGGGUGCGUCAGUAUCCUAUCUCAUUAGAGGGACGGGAAGGGUUGAAGCCAGUAAUAGAAGGACUGAUAAGGGAUGGUACACUAGAACCCUGUAUGUCUCCUCAUAAUACCCCCAUUCUUCCAGUAAAGAAACCUGAUGGGAGUUACAGACUGGUACAAGACUUAAGGGAGGUGAACAAGAGAACUCGGACCAGAUAUCCAGUAGUUCCCAACCCGUAUACUCUCCUAAGUAAGGUCCCUCCCCAGCAUCAGUGGUUUAGUGUAGUGGAUCUUAAAGACGCCUUUUGGGCUUGCCCAUUAGCCGAGGAGAGCCGAGAUAUCUUUGCCUUUGAAUGGGAGAACCCACAAACCGGGAGAAAGCAGCAAUUAAGAUGGACAAAAUUGCCGCAGGGUUUUACUGAAUCUCCAAACUUAUUUGGACAAGCUUUAGAAACCAUAUUACAAACUUUCCCCACUCCCUCUGGGAUACAAGUUAUCCAAUAUGUAGAUGAUCUCUUGCUAUCAGGAGAAGUAAAAGCUGAAGUCAGAGAGGCUACUAUAAAGCUUUUAAAUUUUCUUGGAGAAAAAGGAUUGAGAGUAUCAAAAAGGAAAUUACAAUUUGUGGAACCAGAGGUAAAAUAUCUUGGACACUUAAUAAGUAAGGGCAACCGGAAGCUCAGCCCAGAAAGGAUUGCAGGAAUAUUAUCCCUUCCCUCUCCCUCUUCCAAAAGGGAAAUCAGAAAACUACUCGGCUUAUUGGGAUAUUGUAGAUUAUGGAUUGAAGGAUACACACAGGCAGUAAAAUUUUUAUACAAAAAGUUGACAGAGGGAGAUGAUAUAAGAUGGAACAAGGAAGAUGAGGAUAAAUUAGGAAAACUGAAGUCAAAACUGGCUUCAAUCCCAGCAUUAAGUUUACCCUCACUAUCAAAACCCUUCUAUUUAUAUGUGAAUACAGAAAAGGGAGUGGCUCAUGGAGUUCUAGCUCAGGAGUGGGGAGGAGUAAAGAAACCAGUGGCUUAUCUAUCAAAAAUGUUGGAUCCAGUGAGCCAUGGCUGGCCAGUGUGUAUUCAAGCUAUAGCAGCUACUGCAAUCCUAGUUGAAGAAAGCCGUAAACUGACUUUUGGAGGUAAACUAAUUGUGUGCACACCUCAUGCAGUUCGAAAUGUGUUAAACCAAAAGGCUGAAAAAUGGUUGACAGACUCUCGGAUGCUAAAAUAUGAGGCGAUCUUGAUAGACAGUGAUGAUUUGACAUUAGAAGUAAAUAAAAGCCUGAACCCAGCUCAAUUUUUAUAUGGGGAACCAACAGAUAACUUAAUACAUGAUUGUCUAGAAAUUAUCCAAUACCAGACAAAGAUUCGAGAAGACCUUGAGGACCAAGCCCUUUUAGAAGGGGAAAUAAUUUAUGUGGAUGGUUCUUCCAGAUGCCUACAAGGAAAAAGAAUGUCCGGAUAUGCAGUAGUUGAUGGGAAAAACAUGCAAACUAUUGAAAAAGGGAAAUUACCCUCAAACUGGUCAGCUCAAACCUGUGAAUUAUAUGCUCUAAAAAGGGCACUAGAACACUUAGCACAUAAAAAGGGUACAGUUUACACUGACAGCAUGUAUUGCUUCGGAGUAGUACAUACCUUUGGAAAAAUUUGGGAAGAAAGAGGAUUGCUUAAUUCAAGAGGAAAAGGAUUAGUACAUGAAGGGCUCAUUUUAGAGGUCUUAGAAGCAUUAAAAUUACCUGAAGAGAUAGCUGUAGUACAUAUUAGAGGUCACCAAAAGGGAGUAACUCCAGAAGUAAGGGGAAAUAAUUUGGCAGACCAAGAAGCAAAGGACGCAGCAGAGAAUGGAGUGGAAAGAGUAAUGUUAAUAUUAACUACAAACGAGGAGGAAUUGGAAAUUCCAAAAUUCAGUGAAACUGAGGAAAAAGAGUUAAAGGAGAUAGGAGGUGAACAAGAUGAAUCAGGGAAAUGGAAACUUCCUGAUGGAAGGCAAUUACUCAAUAAAAUACUUACUAGAAGGAUAUUAGAAGACAUGCAUCAAAAAACUCACUGGGGUACCCAGGCUUUGUGUGAUCAUUUCUUAAGAAACUAUGGGUGCAUUGGGAUUUAUGGGGUAGCAAAAAGGGUAACUGAAAAAUGUAUAACUUGUCAAAGGAUAAAUAAGAAAGUAAUGAGGAAAACCACCCGGGGAGGUCGGGAAUUAGCCCUUAGACCAUUUCAAAGUAUCCAAGUAGAUUUUACAGAACUUCCUCAAGUUCAGCGAUGGAAAUAUAUAUUAGUAAUAACAGACCAUUUAACUCAUUGGGUGGAGGCAGUUCCCACUGCCAAGGCUACUGCUAAUGUGGUCCUUUUCAGGUAUUGCUGACGACCGAGGCGGCGGUCCGGACCAGAGAACGAGGGUGGAUCCACGCCAGCAGAAUCAAAGGACCUGUGGAAAAGCCUAAGGAGUGGACAAUAUCAUCGGAACCGGGUGAAACGAAAUUAACCCUAAAACGGAAAUGAGAGGUGAUGAACUGGGGAGAUCCGCAUGAUCCAGGAAACAUACACAGGAUCACACCAGACUGGGAAGCUAGACCGAGUUUGCACCAGUGGUUUCAAAUACCACCUGGGAAAACUUUGAGACACCUCCGGUACCCUCCCUGGGGAGGAAUACUUCCACCACAGACAGGAGGAUCGGGAUUGUUUCGGACAGAAAACCCCUGUGUUUUUGCCUUAGCCUGUGAUUUAUAUAAAGAGGAGGGGGAAUUACCUCAUACAUUGCCAAGCCAAAUACCCUGUUUGAUUCACCCAAAUACUGGACAUGCUGGUUGGUGUAAAUGUAAGUGUUUGAGCUGUGGGAAAAAUUGGUACUGUAGUUCACACAAACGACGCUCUCGUUGCAUGAAGUGUAGAGUGUCACCUGAGCCCCCUAUCCAAGCAGAACUUGAAGCUACUGAAAUAAUAACUUGGUUGUGUGGUUGGGAAUUAUUAGUGCCUGUUGAAUGGGAGAUAGCUGAGGAAGAGUGGGAGACCACGGUCAAGAAGUGUCAAAAACGAUUUGCCUGGAAAUUAGCUAAGAGAAAGUGACAAUAGAGGAGAGGGCAAGACCAGAUUGGCCUCUGUAAUCGCCACCGAGAAGAUCACAUACACCUGCUGUGGGCUGCAACCCCAUAGGCAUGGGAGGUGGGAGUAUAAGCCAUACUGGACCUCUGCUGGUUCUGUCACUCAUUUUCUGGCUCUUCCCUUUUGGGAUGCCGACCAGGCCAUGCUACAGGUGUUACCAAAAACUGUAUAUGGAAAGACACCGAGGCUCCUUCUUUAUUUCUCACACUCAUAUCAACAGUCACUGUUAUAACCCUUCCAAAUUGGGAAACUGCAUACACAAUGGGAAAAAGUACUGGAUGGCGGAAAAUGUGAGGGGAAGUGAAUGUGCAAAAGGGGAGAAAUGGAUGUGUUUCACCCACAUUACUGGGAGUAAAACAAAGGAUUUGGUAAAGGAGGAAUUGAUAAGCAAAAAAGCUAGGCCUGCACCACCACCAAAGCCUGUACCAAUCUCGCUGGAUGGUUUGUAUAAGAAAUUGGAACAACAACUGGAGAAAGAAAUAGAUAUUUCACGGAUGGGUAAAAAUCUGUUUGUGGAAUUGGGAGAAAGAAUAAGUAAGGAACUCAACGUAACCAAUUGUUGGGUCUGUGGAGGGGCUUUGAUGUCAGAAGAAUGGCCAUGGAAAGGCAGCAGCUUAGGCCCAAUCGAGCUCCUUAAGUGGAACCAAACAAGUAUAAAGGGAGAAAAUCGGCCAGGGGGAUGGAUUUUAAGUUCAGUAGUCAUAGGGGAGGAAUGUCUUUGGCGUGAAGGAAAAAAGUUCCUCCGUGAAGUAGGAAAAACUCCCUGUAAAAGAUACAAGGUUAGUAAUGGAACCUCUGUAUGGUGGAUCCCAGAAGAACCUACCAUGUACUGGACCCAGAAAAAAGAAAAAAACGGAAAUUGUGAAUAUAAUAAUAAAAUCAGGCUUUUUCAAUGUAAUGAUACAGGAAAGAAUCCUUAUGUUGGCAUCCCAGAGAUUUCUAAAUUUUGGGAGAAUAUGGAUGAGCAAAAAUUGGACUAUUGGAAAGCUCCAGACGGUUUGUUCUGGAUAUGUGGGAAAAGGGCGUAUCCAAAACUCCCUCCCAAGUGGAAAGGGAGCUGUACUCUGGGUGUCAUACAACCAGGAUUUUUUCUUUUGCCCGGACCUGAAGGGGAUCACUUAGGGAUACCAGUUUAUGAGGAUCUAAAAAGAAGCAAGAGAGAUGUAAUUGGAGGAUUCCAAAAAUGGGGAGAGGAUGAGUGGCCCCCUGCACGCAUACUGGAAACAUACGGACCAGCCACCUGGGCACAGGACGGGAGUUGGGGAUAUCGAACUCCCAUUUAUAUGUUAAACCGUAUCAUAAGGCUUCAAGCAGUCGUAGAGAUAAUAACAAACAAAACUGGUAGUGCAAUGGAAUUAAUAUCCAGACAACAAACUCAAAUCAGAGCCGCUGUGUACCAAAACAGGUUAGCACUGGAUUACCUAUUAGCUGAAGAAGGGGGCGUUUGUGGAAAAUUCAAUACAUCAGAUUGUUGUUUAAAAAUAGAUGAUAAUGGAGAAGCUGUCCUGGAUAUAGUCAAUGAUAUCAGAAAAAUCGCCCAUGUACCAGUCCAGAAGUGGGAAUCCAUGCUAAGUACCAGCUGGUGGGAUAAUGUGCUAGGAAUAGAAUGGUGGAAGAAACUAGGUUUUUUCCUCUUAUGUGCUACAGCUGGUUUAAUAUUCCUCCCUUGUUUGAUCCCUUGUUUUAUCAGAUUAAUCACUAGUGUAGUUCAAGGUAUGCAAUUAGUGACCUUGGAUCAAAAGAUGGAUACAACAAAAACGGUACAAAAGAUAAUGGUAUUAAGGAAACAAAACAGAGUAGCAGACCCCCUCCAGGAAGCCAGACUGAUUUAUGAAGAAAAUGAACAUAGAAGGGAUGCAAGAGAGCAGUAAAUAUCGCUCGAGCCAAUUUUAUUAUAAAAAGAAAGAGGAGGGAUUGUGAAAAAGGCAUAUUGGGUGUGUGGCUCUACGCAGAUAUUUACUAUAUGUAAUAUGCUAGGUAGAAAAGUUAUGCAAUAUUAACAUUUAAAUAAUGUAGUAAAUGUAGUUUUUAACAUUGAAUCUAAGUAAGAAUUGUGUGUAAGGUAUUGUCCUUAGCUCAAGAGCAAAGAGAAGAUAACCCAGAGGUUUCUACACAGAGAGAACAAUUACAACAAGCCAUACUAAAAACCCCUCUUGGAUGUUUCAGAGGGAAAGAUACAUAUCUCCUUGAAACCACCCUGGUCACUCCAGACCGUGCAUAUCUCCUUGAAUCUACCCUGGUCAAGCGAGACCAUUGUAUAUCUCCUUGAAUCCACAAAGCCACCUGGUUAAGCCAGACUCCAAGACGCCAGGGGUUUUGCAAAAGGCUCUUGGCAAACGGGCUUUUCUUAGAUAAAGUAUGCAUAAUCAUCAAAGUUUGUCCUCAAAAAUAGAGAUGCUUCUCUCUAACGGGGCCCUUCUUUCUCGCAGCUUUUGUCUGAGAGGAGAGGGGACGGUAGACCCGGGCUACCUUUCUUUGCUCUUAUUGCCUCAUUAUUUGUCCUGUCUCUGAAAACUUUUUAAACUUUUAUUAUUGUAUUAAUUUUUUUGUAACCAAUUUUUAUUCUUUAUUAAAUUUUCAUAAAUUUCAAAAA